rnacentral:rRNA from 1 species
GCAAGUCGAGCGGUAGCACAGAGAGCUUGCUCUCGGGUGACGAGCGGCGGACGGGUGAGUAAUGUCUGGGAAACUGCCUGAUGGAGGGGGAUAACUACUGGAAACGGUAGCUAAUACCGCAUAAUGUCGCAAGACCAAAGUGGGGGACCUUCGGGCCUCAUGCCAUCAGAUGUGCCCAGAUGGGAUUAGCUAGUAGGUGGGGUAACGGCUCACCUAGGCGACGAUCCCUAGCUGGUCUGAGAGGAUGACCAGCCACACUGGAACUGAGACACGGUCCAGACUCCUACGGGAGGCAGCAGUGGGGAAUAUUGCACAAUGGGCGCAAGCCUGAUGCAGCCAUGCCGCGUGU